AUUGAACGCUGGCGGCAGGCUUAACACAUGCAAGUCGAGCGGGGGAGGUUGCUUCGGUAACUGACCUAGCGGCGGACGGGUGAGUAAUGCUUAGGAAUCUGCCUAUUAGUGGGGGACAACAUUCCGAAAGGAAUGCUAAUACCGCAUACGCCCUACGGGGGAAAGCAGGGGAUCUUCGGACCUUGCGCUAAUAGAUGAGCCUAAGUCGGAUUAGCUAGUUGGUGGGGUAAAGGCCUACCAAGGCGACGAUCUGUAGCGGGUCCGAGAGGAUGAUCCGCCACACUGGGACUGAGACACGGCCCAGACUCCUACGGGAGGCAGCAGUGGGGAAUAUUGGACAAUGGGCGGAAGCCUGAUCCAGCCAUGCCGCGUGCGUGAAGAAGGCCUUUUGGUUGUAAAGCACUUUAAGCGAGGAGGAGGCUCUUAAGGUUAAUACCCUUGAUGAGUGGACGUUACUCGCAGAAUAAGCACCGACUAACUCUGUGCCAGCCGCCGCAGUAAGAC
rnacentral:rRNA from 1 species